rnacentral:sRNA from 1 species
UUCCGGCCGAAAAUCACAAGGUUUUGUG